rnacentral:tRNA from 1 species
UACGCUUAAGUAUAUGUUGUACAGGAAUUUUUGGUAUUCCAAGGGACGGUUGAAUUCCGUCAAGUGUAA